UACGUAGGUGGCCAGCGUUGUCCGGAUUUACUGGGCGUAAAGAGCGCGCAGGCGGUCGUUCAAGUCGAGUGUGAAAGCCCCCGGCUCAACUGGGGAGGGUCAUUCGAUACUGAUCGACUGGAAGGCAGGAGAGGGAAGCGGAAUUCCCGGUGUAGUGGUGAAAUGCGUAGAUAUCGGGAGGAACACCAGUGGCGAAGGCGGCUUCCUGGCCUGUUCUUGACGCUGAGGCGCGAAAGCUAGGGGAGCAAACGGG
rnacentral:rRNA from 1 species